GAAUCAAAUCUGAAAAUGUCCCUGAAAAUAAGGAUGGAUCAGAUGACGAUGAUGAUGACGAUGAUGAAGAUGAGGAUGAAGAGGGUGGUGAUGACGACGAUGAUGCUGAAGAGGAUUUCUCCGGAGAAGAAGAUGGGGGUGACGACGAUGAUGAAGAUGAUGAUCCUGAGGCUAAUGGUGAAGGAGGGAGUGAUGACGACGAUGAUGAUGAGGAUGGUGAUGAUGAUGGCGAUGAUGAAGAUGAGGAUGACGAUGAGGAUGACGAUGAGGAGGAUGACGAAGAUGAGGAAGACCAGCCCCCUUCCAAGAAGAAGAAGUGAUUUGCUCUUCCAUGGAUUCACCUCAGCUUCUCCAUGCUGUUAGUUGGGUUGUUU
rnacentral:lncRNA from 1 species